AGUUUGCUCUAACGCUCUCUGUCUCCUCUUGGAAGAGAUUUUAUUGACAUGAUAGAAAUCUUCUUUCCUUCUUUCCUUCACACAGAGCAUCUCCGCAUUUGAAGACGUGUGUAGUGCUGGAGGAUUCAUUCUGCUGUAGCCCUUCUUCAGCACUGUACAUCUGCAGUUUACAUAGAUGCACACAUCCCGCAGUCUAAACUGGGGUUUCAGUGUUUGCCUGUGGCUCUGGUGCUCUGCUGCUUCCCUUCAGCCCCCUGCCCAGCACAUCUUCUCCUGGAGAAGGAUAUGAAAUCCCUGCUAUAGACCAGUCACGAACAAAAAAAAAGAGGCUGUCCGAGGUGAUGCCCCCUUCUCACUGCCUGCCCAGAGUCACACGAUGGCCGCCUCCUGCCAGCCAGCACAGAGAUUUCUCUGCUACUUUCCAGCCUCCCGAUGCCGGUGUAGGAGGGCAGCAGAAGGAAAAGGGCCAUGCAGACGAUGACCCCACACUGCGCUGAGCCCCGGGUGCCAUCUCUGGCCCAUUGGCAUCUGGUGUAGCGUCGAGAA